CACGUAGGGCGCGAGCGUUGUCCGGAAUUAUUGGGCGUAAAGAGCUCGUAGGCGGCCUGUUGCGUCCGCUGUGAAAGCCCGGGGCUUAACCCCGGGUCGGCAGUGGAUACGGGCAGGCUAGAGGUAGGUAGGGGAGAAUGGAAUUCCCGGUGUAGCGGUGAAAUGCGCAGAUAUCGGGAGGAACACCAGUGGCGAAGGCGGCCGGCUGGGGGUGCCCUGACGCUGAGGCGCGAAAGCGUGGGGAGCGAACCGG
rnacentral:rRNA from 1 species